UAAGGAAUAUUGCUCAAUGGGAGAAAUCCUGAAGCAGCAACGCCGCGUGGAGGAUGAAGGGUCUAUGACUUGUAAACUCCUGUAAAGAAGGAAAAAAUUCCCAUUAGAUGGGAGACGAUGGUACUUCUGGCGUAAGCCCCGGCUAACUACGUGCCAGCAGCCGCGGUAAUACGUAGGGGGCAAGCGUUGUCCGGAUUUACUGGGUGUAAAGGGUGCUCAGGCGGAUUUGUAAGUCAGAGGUGAAAUCUUACAGCUUAACUGUGAAACUGCCUUUGAUACUGCAAGCCUAGAGUAUGGAAGAGAGUGAUGGAAUAUCUGGUGUAGCAGUGAAAUGCGUAGAUAUCAGAUAGAACACCAAUGGCGAAGGCAGUCACUUGGUCCAUUACUGACGCUAAAGCACGAAAGCGUGGGUAGCAAACA
rnacentral:rRNA from 1 species